GCCAGCGUGGCGUAGUGGUUUGAGCGAUGGACUAAGACAUUGGGAGUCCUGGGUUCGAAUCCCACCCCAGCCA